rnacentral:lncRNA from 1 species
GGCGCUCUUGCACCCAGUGGAAGAGCAUGGCCCUGCACACCCUGUCUAGACAAGAUCACGGCGGCAGGAGCAGAGAGGUAGGGGCAACUCGCUGUCCUCAGGAGCUCACCCUCAUCUCCAGGGACCCUGAAUCAUAAGCUGGGCAGGCUCCAGGAUGAGUGUGGGGCUCAAUAGGCUGGACAGGCUGUGAAGAAAACCUUUCCACACCUGCACUAGAUCCCAGCCCAGGGGUGAUCUAGAACUCAUCCCUGGGGUGUGUUCAUUAAAACAUUCAUGGGGCCUAACGUGUCUUCCCCAGGACUGAGCUCUGGGAUAAGAACAAAUGAGGAAGAGACAGUCACUGCCCUGGCAGCAAACACCCAUGGCCAGGGUUCCUCUAUCCAUCUGUGGGAAGACCCCAAGUUUGAUACUGAAGAUGUUAAACCAUCUCCAAAGUGACUAUUUCACAUUGACUAUGUUCCCCUAGUUGGAAAGCCAAGGCUCGGUCAUCAUUUCUUUCCACCCCUCUCUGCCUUCCUUCCUUCACCACCAAGGAGGAUGGCUCAGCAGCAGCUCAGUCCCUGCUUGUCAACCACCGACCUCCAUACACUCCAGCCCCGGUCCACAUCCCCCAAGGCUCCUCGUGGGAUUCCUAAGCAGCACCAGUGCACUGACUGUCACUCUACUCAUUUAUUGAAAGAACAGUAGGCAAAAUAAUUGUAUUAUAUCUUUACUAAUCCUUUGUUACAAAGACAAGUAAAUAAAAAAAGCCCUUAAAAUGCUGCAUUUCCCUAUUAUUUAGAGAUAGUGAGUGCUAACCCUGUGAUAGUUCUCUUUCUGGUCUUCCCUUUCUUUACACUGUCUGUGCGUCCAUUGAGUCGGUGGCUGUUCAUGUUCCCACCAGCCCCCGGCAGUGAAACGUCCAUCAUGGGGGUCAGCACAUGGUGAGUGCUGAGCCUCACUACUCUAGCUAUGCAGGAGGUCUCCAGUGAGGGUGAUGGGUGCCAGGCUAACAACAAUGUUGUCCUCUGCAUUCUGAUGUGGCACUGGCCCUUGUCUGUCUCCUAUAGAUUGGAGCAUUUCUGAGGCUUGAGGUGGUCAUGUUAUUAAAUACAAUACAAUUAUCUUCCUGAUUUUCCCCUGCUUUGACCAAGUGCUGAGGAAUGACCCCAGCUCUAACAGAUGCUGAUGUGUACUGUUCUAUGUGGUAUCUUACCCUUCUCCGAAUCUGUGAGCUGACCAAAAGCCUGUGGGCUUUCUAUGUGUGUUUCACAGUAAUGCCCAUGUUAACGCCUGCUGUUCCAGUAUCUUUUGCUACCCUGGGUUAUGUGACCACUGAGGCCCCCUUGGAUGAUGGGCAAUGUUUGGCAUGCUUUAUAGGCCAUUACAGUUUCAAGUAUACACAUAAGUGCUGGAACUCCCUGGUGUGGGGACACCUUAUCUCAUGCCAGAGUGACACAGUUGAGUAACACAGAGCAUCAACAUUGGGACCCAUUUCUGGGUUCAUGUUUGCCUCUUCCAUUCAGGAGGUUAAAAUCUGGGUUCAUUCUUUUCUGUACCCUCUCCAUCCCACAAUAUCUAAGUAGGAUAUUCAACUGGCCUUCCAGUACAGCUGUGAUGAGGGAGGAAAGAGGUGAUUUAUGUGAAGUGUAUGGUGGUGGUGGGAUUUUUUCUUCCUUUCUAUUAGACGAAUGACAUGACUCGGGAGGCCGAGGUGAGAAGAUCACUAUAGGCCAGGAAUUCAAAAACAGUCACACUUGUACUGUGUUGUGCAUGUGGGUCCACAUUUUCUGGGGGAAACACACAUUGACAAACACACUCAUAAUCACUACAUAUUAACUCACUACUAGUUACCUCCCAGCCCUUUUGCACACAAACCCACACCAUCUAAAUGAUAUGGCUGUUUCCAGGGACCCUAGCAGAUGAUCACAGUUCUUCAGUGAGCCAUCUGUUUCUCACAACGUACCCCAGGUCCUCACACCUAUCAGGAACCUGAAGCCAGGGAGGUUCUCCAGACAAAAGCAGGCAAGAGAAUCUUCCCUGACUCAUCACUUAGAUUUGUCAUUAGGAAGGGAGCAGUAUUAGAAUAUGUACAAUGUUAGAGAGGGGAGCAAUACACAGUGGGGCUCUCGGGGGCUGAAGCAGGAGGGAGGGCAUCGGGAUAAGUAGCUAAUGUAUGCAGGGCUUAAUAGCUAGGUGAUGGGUUGACAGGUGCAGCAAACCACCAUGCCACACUUUUACCUAUGUAACAAACCUGCACAUCCUGCGCAUGUAUCUCUGAACUUAAAGUAGAAAUUAAAUUUAAAAAAAAGGAAAUUGCCAGAGUAGGCAAAUCUAGAAAAACAGGAAGUAGAUGAGUGGCUGCCUAGGGCCAGGGAUAUGCGGGUUGGGGAAAAGAGAGAAGUGACUACUAAUGGCUGUGGGGUUUCUUUGAAGGGGGAAUGAAAAGAUUCUAAAAUUAGAUUCUAACAAUGAUUGCACAACCUUGUAAAUGUGAAAACACUGAAUCACCCACAUUAAAUAGGUAAAUUGUUUUGCAUGUCAACUAUGUCUCAAUAAAGCUGUUUUUUAAAAAAUAUACUUACCUGGCCAGGCAGAGUGGCUCACAACUGUAAUGCCAGCACUUUUGGAGGCUGAGGCGGGCAAUCACAAGGUCAGGAGAUCGUGACCAUCCUGGCUAACAUGAUGAAACCCCAUCUCUACUAAAAAAAUAAAUAAUACAAAAAACUAGCCAGGCGUGGUGGCGGGUGCCUGUGGUCCCAGCUACUCGGGAGGCUGAGGCAGGAGAAUGGCGUGAACCCGGGAGGCAGAGCUUGCAGUUGCGCCGCUGCACUCCAGCCUAGGGGACAGAAUGAGACUCCGC